rnacentral:rRNA from 1 species
GAUGAACGCUGGCGGCGUGCCUAAUACAUGCAAGUCGAGCGCAAAGAUCAGGAGCUUGCUCCUGUGAUUUGAGCGGCGGACGGGUGAGUAACACGUAGGCAACCUACCCUUGAGAUUGGGAUAACUACCGGAAACGGUAGCUAAUACCGGAUACGACCUUUCCACAUAAGUGGAAUUGUUAAAAGGCGGAUUUAUCUGCCGCUCAUGGAUGGGCCUGCGGUGCAUUAGCUAGUUGGUGAGAUAGUAGCUCACCAAGGCGACGAUGCAUAGCCGACCUGAGAGGGUGAUCGGCCACACUGGGACUGAGACACGGCCCAG